rnacentral:rRNA from 1 species
CUACGGGUGGCUGCAGUGGGGAAUAUUGCACAAUGGAGGAAACUCUGAUGCAGCAACGCCGCGUGGAGGAUGACACUUUUCGGAGCGUAAACUCCUUUUAUAUAGGAAGAAGAUGACGGUACUAUAUGAAUAAGCGCCGGCUAACUCCGUGCCAGCAGCCGCGGUAAUACGGAGGGCGCAAGCGUUACUCGGAAUCACUGGGCGUAAAGAGCGUGUAGGCGGAGUAAAAGUCAGAAGUGAAAUCCUAUAGCUUAACUAUAGAACUGCUUCUGAAACUCUUAAUCUAGAAUAUGGGAGAGGUAGAUGGAAUUUCUGGUGUAGGGGUAAAAUCCGUAGAGAUCAGAAGGAAUACCGAUUGCGAAGGCGAUCUACUAGAACAUUAUUGACGCUGAGACGCGAAAGCGUGGGGAGCAAACAGGAUUAGAUACCCGUGUAGUC